AUGUACGAACUCUGGGGUGGAGUCAUUUACACUUCCGGUCCUUCAGUUGAGAUUUUUGAAAAGAAGAUGGACGCCAUUGAAGUACAUCGUGGGAUAGUAAAAGGGUCAGCAAAAUGCUCAUCAAUGUCCAGUACCAUGGAGAAAAAAGUACCUCAAACUGCAGCCUGGUUUUUCCUUUCAAAGUUUAAUUCGAGAAGGCACAUCAAUCCACUGGUGCAAAAGAAGAGAACACCUCUGCCAUAGGAGAUUCAGCAGAAAAAGGCCAAACAGAUGGUCCAGGAGGUUCUGGAGAAGAGUUAAAUGGGAGAGGAAAUAAUGGAGGAGUAUAGUAGAGCACCUUGACACACUGUACAAGAAGGCAUCUUCUGAAUAUCCUGGUCCAUGGAUACCAGUACUAAGUCAAGGAAAAAGAUAUGCACUCGGCAUUGUGACUGUUUCCUAAUCUCAGGGAUCCUUACUCCACCAAUGGCUAUGAACACUUCUACGAUGCUGGAAGAGGGACGGGUUAUCUGGCAUGGCGCCUAAAGCAACGAGUGUCGCAGCGUUUGGUCAAGAACAGCUCGGGAGCCUUGGAAUACAUGAACACCAUGAGCUUUUUAAGGAGGUAGACUUUCUAAUGAGGAGACACAGCACUCAAAAAAUCCUUCAUAGAAAUGCAUGGGGUUAGUUUGUAACGUAUGGUGUUGUCUACAUAUAUCACACCCCCCUCUGUGGCAAAACGUGGACAUGUAAAUACAUUGAGCCAAUCAUACAUCGUGCCAAUCAUGUGUUGUGAUCUCAC